UGUUAAAAUUUUCAUUCAUUUAUACUGUUAAAACCUAACAUGAUUAACAGAAAACUAGACAUUAGCACAUUACGUGUCACAUGUACCUUAUGUUGACAUAUAAGGACCAAAUGUUAACAAUAAAAAUGGAUAAAAAUUUCAAUA
rfam:Gossypium hirsutum cultivar TM-1 chromosome 25, whole genome shotgun sequence